rnacentral:rRNA from 1 species
GUCUACGGCCAUAGCACCCUGAACGCGCCCGAUCUCGUCUGAUCUCGGAAGCUAAGCAGGGUCGGGCCUGGUUAUUACUUGGAAUGGAAUCACCGUGGGAGUUUUAAAAA